rnacentral:rRNA from 1 species
GGGAUGAAAGCUGGGGGAGCAANCCGGAUUAGAUACCCGGGUAGUCCCAGCUGUAAACGAUGCAGACUCGGUGAUGCANNNNNNUGUGGCCAAUGCAGUGCCGCAGGGGAGCCGUUAAGUCUGCCGCCUGGGAAGUACGUACGCAAGUAUGAAACUUAAAGGAAUUGGCGGGGGAGCACCACAAGGGGUGAAGCCUGCGGUUCAAUUGGAGUCAACGCCAGAAAUCUUACCUGGGGAGACAGCAGAAUGAAGGUCAAGCUGAAGACUUUACCAGACACGCUGAGAGGUGGUGCAUGGCCGUCGCCAGCUCGUGCCGUGAGAUGUCCUGUUAAGUCAGGUAACGAGCGAGACCCCUGCGUCUAGUUGCUACCAUUACUCUCUGGNGCAGUGGAGCGAAUUAGACGGACCGCCACAGUUAAUGUGGAGGAAGGAAGGGGCCACGGCAGGUCAGNAUGCCCCGAAACCCUAGGGCUACACGCGGGCUGCAAUGGUAUUGACAAUGUGUUCCGAAUCCGAAAGGAGGAGGCAAUCAUCAAACAAUAUCUCAGUUAUGACUGAGGGCUGUAACUCGCCCUCAC